rnacentral:rRNA from 1 species
GACGAACGCUGGCGGCGUGCUUAACACAUGCAAGUCGAGCGGUAAGGCCCUUUCGGGGGUACACGAGCGGCGAACGGGUGAGUAACACGUGGGUGACCUGCCCUCAGCUCUGGGAUAAGCCCGGGAAACUGGGUCUAAUACCGGAUAUGACUCCAUGACGCAUGUUGUGGGGUGGAAAGCCUUGUGCGGCUGAGGAUGGGCCCGCGGCCUAUCAGCUUGUUGGUGGGUGAUGGCCACCAAGGCGACGACGGGUAGCCGGCCUGAGAGGGCGACCGGCCACACUGGGACUGAGAUACGGCCCAGACUCCUACGGGAGGCAGCAGUGGGGAAUCUUGCGCAAUGGGCGAAAGCCUGACGCAGCGACGCCGCGUGAGGGAUGACGGCCU